AUACGACUACAUAUCAGGCAUAUCAAUAAGCGGAGGAAAAGAAACUAACAAGGAUUCCCUUAGUAACGGCGAGUGAAGCGGGAAGAGCUCAAAUUUGAAAUCUUCAGGGUUCUACCUUGAUGAAUUGUAGUUUAAAGAAGUGUUUUCUGUUAGAUGAGUAGCAAAAGUUCCUUGGAAUGGGACAUCAUAGAGGGUGAGAAUCCCGUAUUUGGUUAUUCAUUCUAGCUUUGUGAUACACUUUCAAAGAGUCGGAUUGUUUGGGAAUGCAGUCCAAAAUGGGUGGUAAAUUUCAUCUAAAGCUAAAUAUUGGCGAGAGACCGAUAGCGAACAAGUACCGUGAGGGAAAGAUGAAAAGAACUUUGAAAAGAGAGUUAAACAGUACAUGAAAUUGUCAAAAGGGAAGCGUUUGACACCAGUGUUGUUUUUCCGAAAAUCAAUUACGAAUGGCUUGAUUUUGUGUUGUAUUGACCUUAUCAGCUUUCUUCACUUUUUUCGAGUCUUUCUUAAUGCACUUUUCGGUUAACAAGUCAACAUCAAUUUCUUUUGUUGUAAAAGAGUAUUCGGAAGGUGGCUUUCUUUUCGGAGAAAGUGUUUAUAGCCCUAUACUUCUACAAUCGGAGAGAUUGAGGUCUGCAGCGUAGAUCCUUCGGGGUUAGAUACACUUGUGCUAAGUUGUAGCUUUUCAUAGACAACUUGUUGACUAUGUUUAGUCAUGCGGCUUACUCGCUUGUGCUAUUUUACCUACGCUUAGGAUGUUGAGUAGCGACAUACGCAC
rnacentral:rRNA from 1 species